rnacentral:misc_RNA from 1 species
GAUGAAGAACGUAGCGAAAUGCGAUACUUGGUGUGAAUUGCAGAAUCCCGUGAACCAUCGAGUCUUUGAACGCAAGUUGCGCCCGAAGCCAUUAGGCCGAGGGCACGCCUGCCUGGGCGUCACACGUCGUUGCCCCCCCAUCUACUCCUUCGGGAUUGCGGGGGGCGGAUGAUGGCCUCUCGUGCGCCUCGUCGCGCGGUUGGCCUAAAUGCCAAGUCCUCGGCGACGCACGCCACGACAAUCGGUGGUUGCGAAACCUCGGUUGCCUGUCGUGUGCGGUCGUCGCGCAUCGAGGGCUCGAAAAAAUUGCCGGGCUUCGGCUCGACUUUCAACGCGACACCAGGUCAGGCGGGGUUACCCGCUGAAUUUAAGCAUAUCAAUAAGCGGAGGA